UGACACAGGGAGGUAGUGACAAGAAAUAACAAUACAGGGCUACUUCUAGUCUUGUAAUUGGAAUGAGUACAACUUACAUCUCUUCACGAGGAUCAAUUGGAGGGCAAGUCUGGUGCCAGCAGCCGCGGUAAUUCCAGCUCCAAUAGCGUAUAUUAAAGUUGUUGCAGUUAAAAAGCUCGUAGUCGGAUUUCGGGGCGGGCGCAGCGGUCUGCCGAUGGGUAUGCACUGUUGGGCGCGUCCUUCUUUCCGGAGACCGCGCCUACUCUUAGCUGAGCGGGCGCGGGAGACGGAUCGUUUACUUUGAAAAAAUCAGAGUGUUUCAAGCAGGCAGCUCGCUCUUGCAUGGAUUAGCAUGGGAUAAUGAAAUAGGACUCUGGUGCUAUUUUGUUGGUUUCGACC
rnacentral:rRNA from 1 species